CUCGUUCGGCAAUCUAUUGAGAGCGGCUUCUGGGAGCCCCGUGUUGAUAUUGGGGCGGGAGGGAAGAUGGCGGCCGUGGCGGCAGGCGGCCUGGUGGGAAAGGGGCGCGACAUCAGCCUGGCGGCCCUGCAGCGCCACGACCCUUAUAUCAACCGCAUCGUGGACGUGGCCAGCCAGGUGGCUCUGUACACCUUCGGCCAUCAGGCCAACGAGUGGGAAAAGACUGAUGUGGAAGGAACCUUAUUUGUUUAUACAAGAUCUGCUUCUCCAAGGCAUGGAUUCACCAUUAUGAAUAGACUGAGCAUGGAGAAUAGGACAGAACCCAUUACUAAAGACCUGGAUUUCCAACUCCAGGACCCUUUCCUUCUCUACAGAAAUGCCAGAUUGUCCAUUUAUGGAAUUUGGUUUUAUGAUAAGGAAGAAUGCCAAAGAAUUGCGGAGCUUAUGAAGAACCUGACUCAGUAUGAACAGUUGAAAGCCUGCCAGGGGACUGGAGCAGGAGCCUCCCCAGUUCUCCCCAGCUCAGGGGAGGGCAAGGAAGUGGAUAUCCUACGCAUGCUCACCAAGGCCAAGGAUGAGUACACUAAGUGUAAAACCUGUUCUGAGCCGAAACAGAUAACCAGUUCGUCUGCCAUCUAUGACAACCCCAAUCUCAUCAAACCAAUUCCAGUGAAACCCAGUGAGACCCAGCAGCCGUGCAUCCCUCAGCCCAGCCAGACCUUAGACCCUGAACCCCAACACUUAUCCUUGACAGCUCUGUUUGGGAAGCAGGACAGAGCCACAAGUUCAGACACCGUGGAGCCCCCACAGACCCUCCAGGCCCAGCAGCCGCACGAGAAGCUCCCAGUAAGGCAAGGGGUCGUGCGCUCCCUGUCCUAUGAGGAACCCAAAAGGCAGUCGCCGCCGGUGGAGAAGCAGCUCUGUCCAGCUAUUCAGAAACUCAUGGUCCGGGGCACAGACCUCCACCCGUGGUCAGAGCUGCCCGAGAGCCGGCCCCGUGAAGAGGGCAGCCCCCGUCCGGCCAUCCCACCUGGGUCACCCUGCACCGCCGGGGCUGCUCACGCUCCACAGAGCGCUUGCAGAGCUCAGACCCUGCUGGAGAAGCUUCACAGCGCGCCAGGGCCAACGGACAAGCAUGACCUUGGCACAGUAGUCCCUGCCGGGCCGGUUGCCCCAGGCUGCAGCACAGCCCUCACCACUGCCACCCCAGCCAAGGGUGUGGCGCAGCCGCAACUGCUUUCUUUCAAUGGCACCCUCCCGCCGCACACACUAGGACCUCAGGCUCAUGGGAAAGAGCAGGCCACGUUCGCUAGACAGAUGGGCCCUCCCUCCAGCACCCCAGCAAGCAGUCCCCGGGUGGCAGCCCCUCCAGAGCUACUGAGGAAGCUGCAGGUGGUGCCGCAGGAGCAGCAGCUGCCCGUGCCCACCCGGCCAGCCCUGGCAGCUAAGUUUCCUGCAGCAGCUCAGGGCUCUCGGACUGGGAAGCCCUUGGAGUCCUGGAUCAACAAGACGACAUCCGGCACAGAAAAGCAGGCUCGUUUCCUUCAGGUAAAUAUCAACCAAGGACCAAAAAAAUAAAACAAGGGAUCACUGUCCUACGGUGAAAUGUGUUUAUUAGGCAGAAAGACAGAGCUCUCCCUCCAGUGGCUCACUCCCCAAAAUGCGUCCGAUAGCUGGGACUGGGCCAGGCCAAGGCCGGGAGCUGAAUGGCAGGGACCCCACUACUUGAGCCACCAGCUGCUGCUUCCCAGGGAAUGCGUCAGCAGGAGGCUGGAGUCAGGGGCAGGAGCCAGGACUCAAACUCAGGUGCUCCCAAGUGGGGCACCCACGUCUUAACCUCUAGGCCAACCGCUUGUCCCUGCAGUGAAAUUUAGACUCCCCUCCUGUGCUGUAGGGGCUGCGUGUCACACACAUUUCUGUUCAGCACAGGAGCUGAGAACCCCGUGCGUGCAUCUCAUUGCGUCCUUAACUUUCUGCCUAGGCAGAGGGUUGCUUCUCCCGCCCCCUGCCAUUAGACGUAGUUUACUUGAAGAGUUCUCACUUCAUACUGUUACUGGGUGUGAAGACCAGUGUAGACACGGAAAACACCCCCACCUGUGACAGUGGAACAUCCAUGCGGUCUGCUUUGAAGUCGUGCUGGGAUACCAAACAUCUCCCACCUCGUUUUAUCAGUCCACAGUAAAUGACCCUUUUUUUUAUUCAUUGACUUAGAAAAUAUUUUGAGCACUUUCUGCAUGCCAGGCCUUGUGCUAUAUAUUGAUGAAGAAAAUUCCCUCCCUCUCCAGAGCCUGUAAUCCUGGAGAUUCUUGAAGGAAACAGGAAGACACAUUAACGUUUAAAGGUCCAGCCUGUUUUUAUUUAUCCCUAGGUCAUCAGUGCAGCAUAGUUAAGAUCAGGAAAGGGAUACAUGUGCCACCCACCCGCAACUCCCAGUGCCAGAGGGGGAAUGUUGUCCAUUUCAGAAAGAUCCCAUUCUUCAGGGCAGGUGGCUCAGGGUGUGUGUCAGUAACUUGGAACAGUGCGCAGACCACAGCCUGGGGGCAGCACCUGCAGGUCUGGCUCAGAGUCCUAUGCAUUCGCUGACCAGGCAUUGGGUUUCAAAACUGGGAAGCGCUCUCUACUUGUUUUGUAGGUUGUGUUUUGUCAAGUAGCUUCUGACAGUGCCUCGAAAAUCUUGCCUUUAGCAAAGUAAAGACUUUAGGCAUGCACCCUAAGUCCGUGUGUAUGUGAGACCUCGAGACAGAGCCUUCUCACUAUUUAUCAAAAGUCCUAACUCUGAGUACCCUCAUUUCAGCAGAACGUUGUCCCCUUUGUAAGACUUUUUUGCUUCCCCACCCCCCACCCACCCUUGGUAAUUUAGAAUCAGAAAACUGGGGUUAAUCGUUUGACUUAAAUUUCUGCACGUAUAAUUCUCUUUCAGCACUCACAAAUGUCAGAGCCAAGUAAGGAAAGUGUACAUUUUGUCAGCCCACACUGUGCUCUUCUUACGGCUGCCACUUCUCCCCUGGGGCAGCCACUCUCAGCACCUCUCCCUGGAGCAGCAGCGAGGGCCAAGGCACAAGCAACUCGCCCGCCUGGCCUCCUGUAGGCUGCCUUCUGCGCGGGGUGCCACGGGGCCUGCGUCAUGCCGGCCUCCGUGCCCGUCUCACAGGUUCUUUGGGGGUAUUAGGAGGCUGAUCGAUAACAUUCCUUUUUCUUCCCUGAGUUAGCACCAGUGAGCGCUGUAGGAGUCACUCAGCUGGGGAUCAAAAUGUCACUUGCGUAACAGAAAGUUCCUGGAGAACUUGGUUUUAGGUCUGUUAGCCAAGUGAGUUAGACCCAGACAGGUGAGUCGCUGGCACUGCCGAGUGAUGCCGAGCCUGUCCCCACACCUCAGCCUGGAACAGCAGAAAGAAGGGGUGAGGGCAGCAGAGGAGCAGGGGGCUCAUCCCACAACCCCCGCUCCCCGAGGCAGGGCCGAGGGUCUGCCCCUAACAUGUCAGAGCCACGUGCUCGGACACUGUGGGCCUUAGGCCAGCACAGUGGCCAGCUGGCCCCGGGCAGGCCGGCGGCCUGAGUGCACUCUGCCCAGCAGUGAUGGCGAGCCUGCAGCGCACAACACCACACACAGGCCUCAUUCCAUGCGCAGCGGGCACAGCAAACCACCCCGAGCUGCCUAGGGCCCCCAGGAGGAAACCCUGGAGAAGGGACCAGGAGCCCGUUACACAACAGCUGGGAACAGUGCGCACAGAAUGUGUCCUGCCCCUCUGUCUCCCCGUGCCUCGCGCUGCACCGAGUUGCUCCUUACUGUGCCCUCUGUGUGUGUGUGUGUGUUUGCCGU